GUGCCAGCAGCCGCGGUAAAACGUAGGAGGCGAGCGUUAUCCGGAUUUACUGGGUGUAAAGCGCGUGCAGGCGGACGAGUAAGUUGGAUGUGAAAGCUCCCGGCUUAACUGGGAGAGGUCGUUCAAGACUGCUGGUCUGGAGCGUGGUAGGGGAAGGCGGAAUUCCGGGUGUAGUGGUGAAAUGCGUAGAUAUCCGGAGGAACACCAGUGGCGAAAGCGGCCUUCUGGACCACGACUGACGCUCAGACGCGAAAGCUAGGGGAGCAAACGGGAUUAGAUACCCUUGUAGUCC
rnacentral:rRNA from 1 species